rnacentral:rRNA from 1 species
GUGGGGAAUAUUGCACAAUGGAGGGAACUCUGAUGCAGCAACGCCGCGUGAAGGAUGAAGGUCUUCGGAUCGUAAACUUCUGUCCUUAGGGAAGAAACAAAUGACGGUACCUUUGGAGGAAGCCCCGGCUAACUACGUGCCAGCAGCCGCGGUAAUACGUAGGGGGCAAGCGUUAUCCGGAAUUACUGGGCGUAAAGCGUACGUAGGUGGUUUAUCAAGCGUGGGGUUUAAGGCUAUGGCUCAACCAUAGUCAGCCCUGCGAACUGGUGAACUAGAGUACAGGAGGGGAAAGCGGAAUUCCUAGUGUAGCGGUGAAAUGCGUAGAUAUUAGGAGGAACACCGGUGGCGAAGGCGGCUUUCUGGACUGAAACUGACACUGAGGUACGAAAGCGUGGGUAGCAAACAGGAUUAGAAACCCUAGUAGUCC